rnacentral:rRNA from 1 species
GACGAACGCUGGCGGCGUGCUUAACACAUGCAAGUCGAACGGAAAGGCCCUGCUUUUGUGGGGUGCUCGAGUGGCGAACGGGUGAGUAACACGUGAGUAACCUGCCCUUGACUUUGGGAUAACUUCAGGAAACUGGGGCUAAUCCAGGAUAGGAGCUCCCGCUGCAUGGUGGGGGUUGGAAAGUUUCGGCGGUUGGGGAUGGACUCGCGGCUUAUCAGCUUGUUGGUGGGGUAGUGGCUUACCAAGGCUUUGACUGGUAGCCGGCCUGAGAGGGUGACCGGCCACAUUGCGACUGAGAUACGGCCCAGACGCCUACGGGAGGCAGCAGUGGGGAAUAUUACACAAUGGGCGGAAGCCUGAUGCAGCAACGCCGCGUGCGGGAUGACGGCCUUCGGGUUGUAAACCGCUUUCGCCUGUGACGAAGCGUGAGUGACGGUAAUGGGUAAAGAAGCACCGGCUAACUACGUG